AGGAUGCGGGUGACCGCCCGAGCUCUCCCGAGCGCCAGAGGCCUUGCUUGCGCUUGGUCUUGCUCGCCCGCACCCCUCCAGGAGUCGGCUGCUUGCCCAGAAGUCUCUAUAGAGGAACUGUCGCCGUCAGUCUCUGGGCCUAGAGGGGUGCGAGGAGAAGUGGUCCCUGGCUGCGGUCCGUGUGGCCAACGCCUAAACCAAGAUAUGUUGAGCACUUCUGCCUUCCCGACGGUUCGCUAACCUUGCCCCGCUGGGCAGCGGCAGGAUGAAGAGGAAGCCUGAAGCCAGCACCCGACAGCUCCAAGAGCUGAAUGAGGGCUGUGCUCUGGGGCCUGGGAGAAGGCGAGCCCACUUCUGACCGGGAAUCGGGAGAGAGUACCUGAAAGCCGAGCCCUUUGGGCUGAGCUCUAAAGAAUGGACAGAACCCCAACCCGGAUGCGAUCGGGAAAUGAAGUAGGCAGAAGUGUUAAGAUAAACGGGGAAAGCCAAUGCAGGGUGACUGGAAUGCAAGGACCUUGUUUGGAGUUUGGGGGAGAAUGCUGGGAGGGAUUUUGAGAGGGCCAGGUGAGAGACCUUAAUACCAAGUCAAAUAAGUUAAUGUGACUCCGGAGGCUUUCUUCCUAUUUCUCUAAGAGAAACAAUAAAGCUAGUGGUUAAAUACA